rnacentral:rRNA from 1 species
AGAGUUUGAUCCUGGCUCAGAAUGAACGCUGGCGGCGUGCCUAACACAUGCAAGUCGAAUGUGCCGCAAGGUGCAUGGCAGACGGGUGAGUAACGCGUAGGGAAUCUACCUUUUAGUGGGGAAUAACGCUCCGAAAGGAGUGGUAAUACCGCAUGAGACCGUAGUCUGGGAUGACUACGGUGAAACCUGGGGACCGCAAGGCCUGGGGCUAAAAGAGGAUCCUGCGUCUGAUUAGCUAGUUGGCGGGGUAAUGGCCCACCAAGGCGACGAUCAGUAGCCGGCCUGAGAGGGUGAUCGGCCACACUGGAACUGAGACACGGUCCAGACUCCUACGGGAGGCAGCAGUGGGGAAUUUUGCGCAAUGGACGAAAGUCUGACGCAGCAACGCCGCGUGGGUGAUGAAGGUCUUCGGACUGUAAAACCCUGUCGUCAGGGACGAAGGUUGGGGGGUUAAUAGCCCUUUAGCUUGACGGUACCUGGAGAGGAAGCCCCGGCUAACUCUGUGCCAGCAGCCGCGGUAAUACAGAGGGGGCAAGCGUUAUUCGGAAUUAUUGGGCGUAAAGGGCGCGUAGGCGGUUUGCUAAGUCAGAUGUGAAAGCCCAUGGCUCAACCAUGGACGUGCAUUUGAAACUGGCAGACUUGAGUAUUGGAGGGGGUGGUGGAAUUCCCGGUGUAGAGGUGAAAUUCGUAGAGAUGUGGAGGAAUACCAGUGGCGAAGGCGGCCACCUGGACAGUAACUGACGCUGAGGCGCGAAAGUGUGGGUAGCAAACAGGAUUAGAUACCCUGGUAGUCC